CAUGCAAGUCGAACGAGGAUAUAUCCUUCGGGAUAUAAGCCGAGUGGCACAAGGGUGAGCAAUGCAUAGAUUACCUACCUUUAGGAUAAGGGCAACUUUGUGAAAACGGAGCUAAUACUUAAUAAUACAAAAGAAAAUAAUUUUCUUUUGUCAAAGGGAGGGUAGCAAUACCUUUCGCCUAGAGAGGGGUUUAUGUCCUAUCAGCUUGUUGGUGGGGUAAUAGCCUACCAAGGCGAAGACGGGUAGCCGGUUUAAGAGGAUGGUCGGCCACACUGGGACUGAGACACUGCCCAGACUUCUACGGAAGGCUGCAGUCGAGAAUCUUUCGCAAUGCCCGAAAGGGUGACGAAGCGACGCCGCGUGGGUGAAGAAGGCCUUCGGGUUGUAAAGCCCUGUCAGGAGUUAUGAAAUGUAAGUGCGCUAAUAUCGUGCUUAUUUGACAAAGGCUCCAAAGGAAGCCACGGCUAACUCUGUGCCAGCAGCCGCGGUAAUACAGAGGUGGCGAGCGUUGUUCGGAAUUAUUGGGCGUAAAGAGCACGUAGGUGGGUUUGCAAGUCAGAUGUGAAAGCCUUCUGUUCAACGGAAGAAUUGCAUCUGAAACUGCUAAUCUUGAGUAUAGGAGGGGAGAAUGGAACUUCUGGUGGAGCGGUGAAAUGCGUAGAUAUCAGAAGGAACGCCGGCGGCGAAAGCGAUUCUCUGGCCUAUUACUGACACUCAGUGUGCGAAAGCUAGGGGAGCAAACGGGAUUAGAUACCCCGGUAGUCCUAGCCGUAAACGAUGGGCACUAAGUAGAGGGAAUUACCUAUAUUCUCUCUGCCGUAGCUAACGCAUUAAGUGCCCCGCCUGGGGAGUACGGCCGCAAGGCUAAAACUCAAAAGAAUUGACGGGGGCUCGCACAAGCGGUGGAGCAUGUGGCUUAAUUCGAUGCAACGCGAAAAACCUUACCGGGGCUUGACAUGAUAGAAGUAGGAACCUGAAAGGGGGACGAACGGUAUCCAGUCCGUAGCUAUUACAGGUGUUGCAUGGCUGUCGUCAGCUCGUGUCGUGAGACGUUGGGUUAAGUCCCCUAACGAGCGAAACCCUUGUUUUUAGUUACCAGCGGGUUAUGCCGGGUACUCUAGAAAGACUGCCGUCGUCAAGACGGAGGAAGGUGGGGAUGACGUCAAGUCAUCAUGGCCCUUAUGCCCCGGGCUGCACACGUGCUACAAUGGUCGGUACAGACGGAAGCGAAGCCGAGAGGUGAAGCGAAUCCUAAAAAGCCGAUCUCAGUUCGGAUUGGAGGCUGAAAUUCGCCUCCAUGAAGUUGGAAUCGCUAGUAAUCGCGGAUCAGCAAUGUCGCGGUGAAUAUGUUCCCGAGCCUUGUACACACCGCCCGUCAAGCCACCCAAGCAGGAUGCACCCGAAAACAUUAUAUCUAACCAGGGCAACUUGGAGGAAAAUGUUGAAGGAGUGUUUUGUGAGGAGGACUAAGUCGUAACAAGGUAGUCGUAGGAGAACCUGCGGCUGGAUCACCUCCUUUCU
rnacentral:rRNA from 1 species